rnacentral:lncRNA from 1 species
UCAUAAUUGCAACAAUGACCAAUAGCUUUGUUUGUCAACUCACAACAAAUUUCAAUCAACAUACUUUUUAUAUGUGAAGUCAUCACUCCUCAUAAGAUCAUUAUGCAUGUUCUAUUGCUUUUAUUCUAUACUUCUUUCUAUUUCCUUUUCUCAUGAUCAUAGCAAGCAAGCAAAGCCCUCAAUUUAAAACUACUCUUUAUUAUAUAACUCUCGGACUUGCUUACAUAGGGGGGAACGAGAAGAAAAAGAAAAACUCAAAACU